AUUGAACGCUGGCGGCAUGCCUUACACAUGCAAGUCGAACGGUAACGGGCCUUCGGGUGCCGACGAGUGGCGAACGGGUGAGUAAUACAUCGGAACGUGCCCGAUCGUGGGGGAUAACGAGGCGAAAGCUUUGCUAAUACCGCAUACGAUCUACGGAUGAAAGCAGGGGACCGCAAGGCCUUGCGCGGACGGAGCGGCCGAUGGCAGAUUAGGUAGUUGGUGGGAUAAAAGCUUACCAAGCCGACGAUCUGUAGCUGGUCUGAGAGGAUGAUCAGCCACACUGGGACUGAGACACGGCCCAGACUCCUACGGGAGGCAGCAGUGGGGAAUUUUGGACAAAGGGCGCAAGCCUGAUCCAGCCAUGCCGCGUGCAGGAUGAAGGCCUUCGGGUUGUAAACUGCUUUUGUACGGAACGAAAAGCCUUCUUUUAAUACAGGAGGGUCAUGACGGUACCGUAAGAAUAGGCACCGGCUAACUACGUG
rnacentral:rRNA from 1 species